CCUGGUGGUUAUAGCGAGGAAUCUACACACGAUCCCAUCCCGAACUCGACCGUGAAAGUCCUCUGCGCCAAUGAUACUACACCUCGACGUGUGGGAAAGUAGGUCGCUGCCAGGU
rnacentral:rRNA from 2 species